rnacentral:rRNA from 1 species
UGGGGAAUAUUGGACAAUGGGCGCAAGCCUGAUGCAGCCAUGCCGCGUGUAUGAAGAAGGCCUUCGGGUUGUAAAGUACUUUCAGCGGGGAGGAAGGUGUUGUGGUUAAUAACCGCAGCAAUUGACGUUACCCGCAGAAGAAGCACCGGCUAACUCCGUGCCAGCAGCCGCGGUAAUACGGAGGGUGCAAGCGUUAAUCGGAAUUACUGGGCGUAAAGCGCACGCAGGCGGUCUGUCAAGUCGGAUGUGAAAUCCCCGGGCUCAACCUGGGAACUGCAUUCGAAACUGGCAGGCUAGAGUCUUGUAGAGGGGGGUAGAAUUCCAGGUGUAGCGGUGAAAUGCGUAGAGAUCUGGAGGAAUACCGGUGGCGAAGGCGGCCCCCUGGACAAAGACUGACGCUCAGGUGCGAAAGCGUGGGGAGCAAACA